CCCUUCGUGGCCAUUUAAUUUAUGUAUGAAUAAUUUAUUUUUCUUGAGGUUUGGGGUUCGGUUUGAUGAAUUCAUUGAGGAUCUGAUAAAAUGGAUAUGAGAAUCAAAGGGAGGAGAGUGAGAGGGUUCCAAUAGUGGCAUUAGGUUGAGGUUCAGAGUUACCCCGUCACCUCCGGCACGACAGAGCGGUUUCUGGCCAGGGUCGAUGUGUAAGUGAGAAGAAGAGAGCAUGGUGAAAAUGAAGAUGGAAAUGAAUUUGAUU
rnacentral:lncRNA from 1 species